UCUGGUGGCCUAGUGGUUAGAGCGUCCGCUUCGGAUGCGGAAGGUCGUGAGUUCGAUUGCUGACCGAGUCAU